rnacentral:rRNA from 1 species
UACGAAGGGGGCUAGCGUUGUUCGGAAUUACUGGGCGUAAAGCGCACGUAGGCGGCUUUGGAAGUUAGAGGUGAAAGCCCGGGGCUCAACCUCGGAACGGCAUUCGAUACGGGACGGCUGGAGACCGGGAGAGGAGAGUGGAAUAGCCAGUGUAGAGGUGAAAUUCGUAGAUAUUGGCUGGAACACCGGUGGCGAAAGCGGCUCUCUGGCCCGGUUCUGACGCUGAGGCGCGAAAGCGUGGGGAGCAAACAGG